CUUGUUUAUUCCUCAAAAAACCCUAUGAGGUGACUACUGUGAGUGUUCCCAUUAUACAGGUGAAGAAACUUAAGUUUAAGGAGGCUAAGCAAGUUACCCAAAGUUGCUGGACUAGGAUUCAGGUGCUCAUCAUCAUAAAAGAAAUAGCUGCUCUUUACUGAGCACUAACUAUGGGGCAGACCCUUGCUAUGAAUUAUCUCUUUGGUUCCUUACUAUUGCUCUAUGACAUAGGUGUAAUUAUUACUCUUUCCAUUGUACAGAGCUAAGGCAAUUAGGUGGUUAAGAAACUUUCCAAGAUCGCAUAGUUAGUAGAAGACAGAACAGGAAUUUGAACUUAAGCAAAUGAUUCCAACUCUCAGCCCUUGAACCUUCUACUACUUCUCUCUCUCUCUUUUUUCCAAAACAGCUCUUUUACCAGGGAAAACCUGAAGACAACUACAAUCAUCUAUCUUGGACCAUUUGCUUUCAAUGAUCUGCUUGCUCUAAUAUCCCCAUGGAAACUGGAGAGUCGGGAUCAUUACAGAUGGGAGAACUGAGGCCUAGGGAGACCAAGUGACUUGUCAGGCAUUAGACAUGGAGCAAGUGACUGAGGCCUUAAGAGACCCUUAGGCCCACUGACUCCCAUGACUGAACAUGACAAUAAAAAGGACAAACCCUGCAGAAAAGAGUUACUGAGGCUCUUCAGGGCUCAGACUCUUCACACCCAAGAAAAUCUCUUGCUGCAUAGAUUGGCCUCCAGUACAACCCAGCCUGAUACACACCACAAGGUAGGAGGUAGAUACUGUAUGCGUGCGUGCAUGUUAAGUUGUAUUCAACUCUUUGUUACCCCAUGGACUGUAGCCCGCCAGAAUCCUCUGUCCAUGAGAUUUCCCAGGCAGGAAUACUGGAGUGGGUUGCAAUUUCCUCUUCCAGGGGAUCUUCCAGACCCAGGGAUUGAAGCCGCAUCUCCUGCAUCUCCUGCAUUGCAGGCGGAUUUCUUACUGUUUGAGCCAUCAUGGAAGCCCGAUAUACACCAUGGGGAAUCCUUAAUAGCAGAAUACUCUGUGUAAUCAUGCAGGCCCUAGGACCAGACAGAUAGAUCCACUUUGCUACUCACCAGCUGACUGAACUUGUACAAGUCCCUUAGUGGCUCUGUGCCUCAGUUUCCUCCUCUGGGAUAUGGGAAUACUAAGAGUGCCUAUCUGAUGGAGCUGUGGAAGAGAUUCAGUGAGAUAAUGCAUGCCAGGACAGUGGCACAGCACCUGGCACUCGGCUUAGUAAAUAAUGGCUAUAGGCAAAGAGGAAGACUUGCUGUCUCAGAAACUUUGCCUUGAAGAAGCAUUUCUCUGGCUCCAAUUUCCCCUGUUUUGAAGUGAAGGGCUGAAGGCUGAGACCCGAGGAAAGAAGUGGAGCAAAGGGGUGUGUACAUUUGUAUUUUUUGGUCCCUCUGUGCAGGUGGUGGAAUCAUAGGUCCCCAACCAGGGACUGAACCCAGUCUGGCAGUGAGAGUGCUGAGUCCUAACUACUGGACCGCCUGGGAAAUCCCCAAAGGCGUGUAUCUUGAUGCUGACCCCUUUCCUUCGGCACUUAGAGAACAGGACAAUAUUGAGAGAGGGCCUACGGUUGAAGGAAAUGAAAUCAGUAAUGUGAUGAAGUGAGGGGUGAUGGGUGGGGAGAAGCUGUUUAAAGAAGGGUGGGGUGGUGGGAGAUGAGGGCCUAAAAACUCAGAGGUUGAAAUCCCAUGAAACAAGAGAACCCACAGCAACACCAUGAGCUGAAUGAAGGAAAGAGAAAGAAAAGUUUACAAAGUCAAAGAAGGGAUAGAAGAAGGAAGCUUCAAAAGGGAUUCACAGGAGAGCUUGGGCAGAAAGGUCUGAAUUCUGGGAACCGCUUUGGUCUUUCUCAGAAUGCCUCGACCAAAGAUUUUGUGCCAAAGGGCCUAAAAUAUGCUCAUUAUUAAAUAAAUGGUCAGUUUGUUCACUCA
rnacentral:lncRNA from 1 species